AGUCUUGGGGUGUUACACGUCAGAUUGCAAAUCUGAAGAAGCAAACUCACGUUUGCCGGGACUU
rnacentral:tRNA from 2 species